AAGGUUUUGGUGUCCUACAUAGCCCUGCAAACCAGGUUUCCUGCUGGCACAUUACCUUCCACAACUCAUCCAGGCUCAGGUGAUAACACAUCACACAGAUUUUCCUGAUUGGAUUGAAAAGAGCCUGAAACCGAUCUCAGAGGCAGCUGGAGUUAAGUCAAUGGAACUGCUGCCAAGGAGAGGCUUGUGAGUGCAGCCAGCAUGGGAAAGGCAAGUCCCAAAUGUAACUGAGAGGCUUAAAGGCUGUUCAAAAUUAUGCUGGUGAGAAGCUCUGUGGAGGAAUUGGAGAUGAAGAGAGAACAAAACCUCCUCUGUGGCUCCCACCACCAAAGUCUUCCUGCCUCUCAGAUCAGCGUGAAACAAAGCAAGUGGUGGAACGCCGGAAGCACUGCCUUAAUGCCACUCAGAUAUCUGCAUGACAUAAUGAGCUGUGUAACCUGGAAAUUGUAAGGUUGCGGCAUGUGGUUUGGGUGGUUUUUAGGUAUUUUUGAAUCAGUUUGGGUUGAUGGCAUUAAAAUACUUAAAUCUAGCUGCUAAAUAAAGAUGAAUGGGGCUAAAGACACAUACUCAGAGGCUGAAGUUAAUGGUGGUAACACAAAGGUUGGCAAGCGUGCAGGAAACAAAUUUCUCAAGCUAUUCUUA